CUUCUCCAUAAGUUGCUGUCAAAUUUGAAGAGUCACCAUAGCUAGGGUUUCUUCACUUUCUCAAGCUCAUAAUCAAGAAAGACGAGAAAUCAACCUUAAUCGGGGAAAAGAGAAGAUUGAGGAUUAAAUUGCAAAAUCUUUACAUUUUGUAUCGAGUGAUUUUAAUCAACUCGGGAAUUGGACGGAGUCAUAUCAUCAUCAUCCUCACUAUCAUCAUCAACUUUUGGGUAUUUUGCAAUCAAUACUUUUGAAAAAUGGCAUGUAUAGAUGACUUAAUGUAAUGUAGUAUAAACUUAUAUAUAUGUAUAAAAUAUAGUUUGGUUUAAAAUGUUGGUAUCUAUAAUUGAUGAAUUAUUUCCUUAAA